GAUGAACGCUGGCGGCGUGCCUAAUACAUGCAAGUAGAACGCUGAAGCUUGGUGCUUGCACCGAGCGGAUGAGUUGCGAACGGGUGAGUAACGCGUAGGUAACCUGCCUCUUAGCGGGGGAUAACUAUUGGAAACGAUAGCUAAUACCGCAUAAAAGUCGACAUCGCAUGAUGUUGACUUGAAAGGUGCAAUUGCAUCACUAAGAGAUGGACCUGCGUUGUAUUAGCUAGUUGGUGAGGUAACGGCUCACCAAGCCGACGAUCUCUAGCUGGUCUGAGAGGAUGACCAGCCACACCGGGACUGAGACACGGCCCGGACUCCUACGGGAGGCAGCAGUGGGGAAUAUUGCGCAAUGGGGGCAACCCUGACGCAGCCAUACCGCGUGAAUGAAGAAGGCCUUCGGGUUGUAAAGUUCUUUCGGUGACGAGGAAGGCGUGAUGUUUAAUAGGCAUCACGAUUGACGUUAAUCACAGAAGAAGCACCGGCUAACUCCGUGCCAGCAGCCGCGGUAAUACGGAGGGUGCGAGCGUUAAUCGGAAUAACUGGGCGUAAAGGGCACGCAGGCGGCUAUUUAAGUGAGGUGUGAAAUCCCCGGGCUUAACCUGGGAAUUGCAUUUCAGACUGGGUAGCUAGAGUACUUUAGGGAGGGGUAGAAUUCCACGUGUAGCGGUGAAAUGCGUAGAGAUGUGGAGGAAUACCGAAGGCGAAGGCAGCCCCUUGGGAAUGUACUGACGCUCAUGUGCGAAAGCGUGGGGAGCAAACAGG
rnacentral:rRNA from 1 species